GUGUUUGGUCUAGUCGCAGGACCUAUAUUUUACUCUUUAUAUAUAGUUUUGAGUGGUUGCUCUUAUGGUGGUGUUAUAAUUGUGAGGUGUGCUUUAUGCGAGACAUAGGUUGGUGUUUUGUUUUAGUGUUAAACUGGUUGUGCUUUAAGUGAGUUAGGUGUCGUGGUCUUGGUUAACUUUUUCUUGCAUCUUGAUUUGCAUAUGAUGUUAUACUCAUUUUCUCUUUAGUAUAAUAUUAAUUUGAAACAAAAUUUGGAUCAAUCUCUCAUGAACACAACAUAUUGACUAUAUUGAGUAUAUUUUUAAUAUUUCAGCAACUUCUUGAAAACAUGAGAGAGGAGCUGGCAUGGUUGUAAAAUGGCAGAGGAAUGCUUAGGUUAAAUUUAAUUUGUUUGCUGUGGUGUUCUGACGAUCAUCAACCGGUUGCAGGAAAUGGACUGUUGGGAGCUUGUAGUAAAUCAAUUUUGUUGUCUUGUGGUUGGUUGUUUUAAUCUGAUUAAGAUUGAGGAUCAUAAGGACCUUUGUAUUAGCAUAAGUUUGUUUUGUUGGUUAGAUGUACUCAAAUAUCGUUUCAGACCAAAUCUAGUAUAUUUUCCAUGUUAUAUUGAAAAAUUACUUUUUAUUCUCUAUAAAUUUAGUUGAUGUUAUUUACUAGUUUUUAAAUUUGAAAUUAACUCUAGGUUUACAUAUUAAAAAAUAACUCCAAGUUUACAUAUUAAAAAAAAGCUUCAGGUUGAAUAAU
rnacentral:lncRNA from 1 species